ACGAAUGCGACGAUCAGGAGAAGUACGGCAGGAUACACGUUUACAGAGAGGAUGGAAAGGUGAGAGCCAUCCAGCGUGCCCUGUUCGGAAAUGCGCCUGUGAGCAAUGAGCUGAACGUGUCUGACUGUUUGGACGACAUCAGUAGGUGCCAUCGGUUCCCGCCGUUAUCGGGAUGUAGAGCGAGAUCGUGCGACUGGCUUUCUUUUGGCCGGAUGAACAGCGAUCUAAGCAGAGUGGAACCGCGGUAAACCCCGUCUCUGUC
rnacentral:ncRNA from 1 species